rnacentral:rRNA from 1 species
UACGGGGGGUGCAAGCGUUGUCCGGAUUUACUGGGCGUAAAGGGCGCGUAGGCGGCUUGAUCAGUCGGACUUUUAAGAGCGGGGCUCAACCCCGUGGUGGGUUCGGGACGGUCGAGCUGGGGCGCGGUCGAGGGGGAUGGAAUGCCGGGUGUAGUGGUGAAAUGCGUAGAUAUCCGGAGGAACACCAGUGGCGAAAGCGGCCACCUGGACUGCACCUGACGCUGACACGCGAAAGCUAGGGGAGCGAACGGG